rnacentral:piRNA from 1 species
UGCUGAGAGAGUUAUCCUCCCAGAAG